ACCAACAACCCAACAAGAGCAAAUCCCACACAAACAACAACCGAAACAAAAGAAGAAACUCUAUGUCAAAAAAGAUCCAACCUCAAUGAUAAAAAAUUUAAAGGCAAAAGAAAGGAAGGAAAAGCAGCAUGAUCCAGAAUUCCAAUAUCCGAAAGUUGCGAAAGUGACUAGAGCUU